UACAGAGGGUGCGAGCGUUGUUCGGAAUUAUUGGGCGUAAAGGGCGCGUAGGCGGUGCGGUAAGUCACCUGUGAAAUCUCCUGGCUCAACUGGGAGCUUGCAGGCGAAACUGCCGUGCUGGAGUGUGGGAGAGGUGCGUGGAAUUCCUGGUGUAGCGGUGAAAUGCGUAGAUAUCAGGAGGAACACCAGUGGCGAAGGCGACUACCUGGCCUGUUCUUGACGCUGAGGCGCGAAAGCUAGGGGAGCAAACGGG
rnacentral:rRNA from 1 species